AGGCCAAUAGCUCAGUUGGUAGAGCACUGGUCUCCAAAACCAGGUGCCGUGGGUUCGAGUCCCUCUUGGCCUGCCA
rnacentral:tRNA from 2 species